AGCCACUCCGAGUCGCCUGCCUUCAAUCCCCCUCCCCUCCGAGCAUGGUGACGGCGCCGCCGCCCGCUGGCGCUCCACCCCGAUUCACGAGGCCCAUCUCUGCCCCAGGCAUUCAAGCGGAGGAUCGUCACAUCUCCUCUCGUUGGCGGCAUGGCGUGCGCUGUCCCCUCACUCUGGCGCUUCAAUCUCAGUCUGGCCCUCCUCCCCCGUUGCCGCUGCCGCUGCCGCUGGAGGAGAACUUGAUCGCGGCCGCGCGUGAGGCCCCUUCUCUCUGUGACUGUGCUGUACCUUGAGAUCAGUUCAGUUCAGUUGGGUAAAAUCCCCAUUUCCUCAUCUUAAUUGGGCCGAUAACUGCAUAUGUACAUACCGGAGGUGAACAUUUUGUGGGAUUACUUAUCCUUUAUUGCUGUUCAGAGUUGAAUAGUUUCAAUUCCUGAUGCACGUCUACUGAUUAAGAGUUUGCAGUGCUGAGAGUUGUGAAUAUUUUCUGUGCUGCAUGCAACUAUUUUUCUGGGUUUCACCGAUUGGUCAGAGCUGAAGGGUUUCAAUUCCUGAUGUAAAUAUACUGCUCAAGAUCGAGUUGUCACUGCCAAGUUCCUGAUGUAAUUCUUGCUUGUAUCAUUUCUUGUUCAAACUCUAAAACAACCAGGGGAUGGUUGGUAGCUAGUCUCUUCACUGCUAUGCUAUGUUCCUCCUCGUCUACUGUUUAGUGGACAGGCAUAAUACCCAAGUACUUGCUUCUUGAGCAUCUACAUUAGCCAAAGGCUCUCUGAAAACUGGUUAUUAAACAAAAACUGAGUUUGUUGCGCAAUAUAUUUACACAUGAGCGGAACACCCUGAUUCUUACUGACCACUAUAAACAAUAGUCUUGAAAAAGGUUGUACUGAACUCCCUUUUUGAUCUGCAAUCUGCAUCGCCUAGUAAUUAAUAGUAAAUCUCAUUUUUGGGGCACUGUAUGUGGUUGUUUUGCAGGUACUACUAACUAUGCUUGAGAACCAACCAACCAGCUUAAUUACCUGCAGUUGGUCCCUCCCUCUGCUUGUGUGAAUCAGACUGUUGUUGGCAUUGAAGCCCCUGCAGUGGGUGGUUGAUGAGUAGUUAGUAAUUGUGUGUGAUGCAGAGAGAGGGCUGUGAUGAUUUGAACAGGGCCUCACACUUUCCACUCAAAUGUGAAAUGUUUGCUCCGGGAUGCAGAUGUAUUUCUGAGGGAGUGUGCUACUUUUCUUCCAGAGUUUGACAAGAUUCUGUGCUGCGAUGUUGAGCACAUUUUGCUCGGGAGGAGACAAAGAUGCUGGUCUGACGACUGUCCUCCAAUAUUUAAGCUCUGAUUGGGCGAGAAGAAUUUAAAAGCUGGGAGGCCGUGAGGUGUUGCAACUGUUAGUUGUUACAUCUGUUGGUCAAUGAAAUUAUAGGCCAUUCCUGUUGCUACUCUAUAUCGUACACCGACACACAAGACAGAUAUUUCUUAGCUGCAAAGAAGAAAAAGAACGUCCUCGGUUUGACGUUAGCACAUUACUCUAGUUACGUUGAAAUGAGCAUUCUGCUCAUCAGCUAUUGAUAUUUUCUGGCGCCUGCCUACUUUCUUAGGCAUUGUUAGACAAGCUUCACUUUGCGUGCUGGCGUUGGAACUUGUAAUCUAUGUAAGCUGUAAUCAUUACUAAGCAGUACAAGUAUAUAUUUAUGUA